AGUCAGCAUGGCAUAGUGGUUUGAGUGUUGGACUUCAACUUUGAAGGCCAGAGUUCAAUUCUCUGCUUGGCUA